rnacentral:rRNA from 2 species
GGGUUGUGAGGUUAAGCGACUAAGCGUACACGGUGGAUGCCCUGGCAGUCAGAGGCGAUGAAGGGCGUGCUAAUCUGCGAUAAGCGCCGGUAAGGUGAUAUGAACCGUUAUAACCGGCGAUACCCGAAUGGGGAAACCCAGUGUGACUCGUCACACUAUCAUUAACUGAAUCCAUAGGUUAAUGAGGCGAACCGGGGGAACUGAAACAUCUAAGUACCCCGAGGAAAAGAAAUCAACCGAGAUUCCCCCAGUAGCGGCGAGCGAACGGGGAGGAGCCCAGAGCCUGAAUCAGCAUGUGUGUUAGUGGAAGCGUCUGGAAAGGCGCGCGAUACAGGGUGACAGCCCCGUACACAAAAGCGCAUGUGCUGUGAGCUCGAUGAGUAGGGCGGGACACGUGGUAUCCUGUCUGAAUAUGGGGGGACCAUCCUCCAAGGCUAAAUACUCCUGACUGACCGAUAGUGAACCAGUACCGUGAGGGAAAGGCGAAAAGAACCCCGGCGAGGGGAGUGAAAAAGAACCUGAAACCGUGUACGUACAAGCAGUGGGAGCACAGGUUUACCUGUGUGACUGCGUACCUUUUGUAUAAUGGGUCAGCGACUUAUAUUCUGUAGCAAGGUUAACCGUAUAGGGGAGCCGUAGGGAAACCGAGUCUUAACCGGGCGUUAAGUUGCAGGGUAUAGACCCGAAACCCGGUGAUCUAGCCAUGGGCAGGUUGAAGGUUGGGUAACACUAACUGGAGGACCGAACCGACUAAUGUUGAAAAAUUAGCGGAUGACCUGUGGCUGGGGGUGAAAGGCCAAUCAAACCGGGAGAUAGCUGGUUCUCCCCGAAAGCUAUUUAGGUAGCGCCUCGUGAAUUCAUCUCCGGGGGUAGAGCACUGUUUCGGCUAGGGGGCCAUCCCGGCUUACCAACCCGAUGCAAACUGCGAAUACCGGAGAAUGUUAUCACGGGAGACACACGGCGGGUGCUAACGUCCGUCGUGAAGAGGGAAACAACCCAGACCGCCAGCUAAGGUCCCAAAGUCAUGGUUAAGUGGGAAACGAUGUGGGAAGGCCCAGACAGCCAGGAUGUUGGCUUAGAAGCAGCCAUCAUUUAAAGAAAGCGUAAUAGCUCACUGGUCGAGUCGGCCUGCGCGGAAGAUGUAACGGGGCUAAACCAUGCACCGAAGCUGCGGCAGCGAACGUAUCACUUAAAGCGAUUCAGCGGGUUACGAUUGACGGAGCGAAGCGACGUCAAAGCGUAUACAAAGUCGAGUCGGUUUAAGGAUACGUUCGUUGGGUAGGGGAGCGUUCUGUAAGCCUGUGAAGGUGGCCUGUGAGGGUUGCUGGAGGUAUCAGAAGUGCGAAUGCUGACAUAAGUAACGAUAAAGCGGGUGAAAAGCCCGCUCGCCGGAAGACCAAGGGUUCCUGUCCAACGUUAAUCGGGGCAGGGUGAGUCGACCCCUAAGGCGAGGCCGAAAGGCGUAGUCGAUGGGAAACGGGUUAAUAUUCCCGUACUUGGUGUUACUGCGAAGGGGGGACGGAGAAGGCUAUGUUGGCCGGGCGACGGUUGUCCCGGUUUAAGCGUGUAGGCUGGUUUUCCAGGCAAAUCCGGAAAAUCAAGGCUGAGGCGUGACGACGAGGCACUACGGUGCUGAAGCAACAAAUGCCCUGCUUCCAGGAAAAGCCUCUAAGCAUCAGGUAACAUCAAAUCGUACCCCAAACCGACACAGGUGGUCAGGUAGAGAAUACCAAGGCGCUUGAGAGAACUCGGGUGAAGGAACUAGGCAAAAUGGUGCCGUAACUUCGGGAGAAGGCACGCUGACACGUAGGUGAAGUGAUUUACUCACGGAGCUGAAGUCAGUCGAAGAUACCAGCUGGCUGCAACUGUUUAUUAAAAACACAGCACUGUGCAAACACGAAAGUGGACGUAUACGGUGUGACGCCUGCCCGGUGCCGGAAGGUUAAUUGAUGGGGUCAGCGCAAGCGAAGCUCCUGAUCGAAGCCCCGGUAAACGGCGGCCGUAACUAUAACGGUCCUAAGGUAGCGAAAUUCCUUGUCGGGUAAGUUCCGACCUGCACGAAUGGCGUAAUGAUGGCCAGGCUGUCUCCACCCGAGACUCAGUGAAAUUGAACUCGCUGUGAAGAUGCAGUGUACCCGCGGCAAGACGGAAAGACCCCGUGAACCUUUACUAUAGCUUGACACUGAACAUUGAGCCUUGAUGUGUAGGAUAGGUGGGAGGCUUUGAAGCGUGGACGCCAGUCUGCGUGGAGCCGACCUUGAAAUACCACCCUUUAAUGUUUGAUGUUCUAACGUGGACCCGUGAUCCGGGUUGCGGACAGUGUCUGGUGGGUAGUUUGACUGGGGCGGUCUCCUCCUAAAGAGUAACGGAGGAGCACGAAGGUUGGCUAAUCCUGGUCGGACAUCAGGAGGUUAGUGCAAUGGCAUAAGCCAGCUUGACUGCGAGCGUGACGGCGCGAGCAGGUGCGAAAGCAGGUCAUAGUGAUCCGGUGGUUCUGAAUGGAAGGGCCAUCGCUCAACGGAUAAAAGGUACUCCGGGGAUAACAGGCUGAUACCGCCCAAGAGUUCAUAUCGACGGCGGUGUUUGGCACCUCGAUGUCGGCUCAUCACAUCCUGGGGCUGAAGUAGGUCCCAAGGGUAUGGCUGUUCGCCAUUUAAAGUGGUACGCGAGCUGGGUUUAGAACGUCGUGAGACAGUUCGGUCCCUAUCUGCCGUGGGCGCUGGAGAACUGAGGGGGGCUGCUCCUAGUACGAGAGGACCGGAGUGGACGCAUCACUGGUGUUCGGGUUGUCAUGCCAAUGGCACUGCCCGGUAGCUAAAUGCGGAAGAGAUAAGUGCUGAAAGCAUCUAAGCACGAAACUUGCCCCGAGAUGAGUUCUCCCUGAGACUUAGAGUCUCCUGAAGGAACGUUGAAGACGACGACGUUGAUAGGCCGGGUGUGUAAGCGCAGCGAUGCGUUGAGCUAACCGGUACUAAUGAACCGUGAGGCUUAACCUUACAACGCCGAAG